GCUCCAUCUAGGUUGCAUUUCCCUAGUUUGUUUGAGAAGGUAAUGAGACAAUAUCAAAAGCUUUACUUAAGAUAUACCAUGUUUACUGCUUCCACCUCUAUCCACAAGACUUGUUACCCUGUCAAUGAAAGCCUGUGAAAUGCUUACAGCUCAUUUUGGUGUUACACUAUGAAUUAUCUAUUAUCGUACCCAGUUCCAGAUAUUACAUCAUUCACUUUUUCAUCAAGAAGUUUUAGGGCAAAUGGGAAAUUGUUUGUUUAAUAUCUACUAUUUGCAGUGUUGUCGUCGUGUUCGUCCCAGGAUAUUAGAGAGAGCAGGUGGAUGAGGUAAUACCUCUUACUAGGCUGAUUUUGGUGGGUGAAAGAGACGACGUUUCCUGAAGAAGAGCUGUCUAGCUCAAAAGCUUGUCUCUCUU